rnacentral:ncRNA from 2 species
CUUUGCUUGUCGGAGUGCCGUGCAUCGGAAGUUGCCUGGCUGAGAUCGCAACACUGCGAAAUCCGCUGAACCUGAUCGGGACCAUCCCCGCGUAGGAAACCAAGUCGCCCCAUGC